ensembl:lncRNA
CCAAGGUAGAGGCAUGACCCUGAGCAGAUAAACAGGUGACAUUUAAUGCUCUGGUCUCCUCAUAACCCCAGAACCAACCUCUGGAGAAGAAAAAAAAAGAUUUCAUUAAAGAAAUUGACUGAAUUUCUUUUACUAUGCAUUUCGUUUUUUGCCGUGGAACACAAAAGAAAGUAUUUUAAAGAAUGUUGUUUUGUUUGGACUUUUUUGUAUGGGAACAAAGUUCAAAAUAUAUUCUUUUGCAUUCAACAGAACAAAGAAAAUCAUACACUGAAAGAACAUGAAGAAACAGCAUGGCUCACCAGCAAUAAACUCCUCAUACUCAAUGACUGGUAUGUUAGCCUGCAGGCUGGUUAUGCUGAAGAACUCCCCCCACGGGAUGCGAACCUGAUGUAUAUCAGGACUCUGCCAGUGAUACAGAUGACCCCAUGGAGGCAACACUAGCACCCAGUCACCAUUUUUUCUCAAUGUCUUCAGCAAAGAGGCCAUGCGAAUGUACACAUCUCGGCGAAGAUUAAAGCCCUCGGGUGGAUUUACAUCAUAUAGGAG